GGGCCAUUAUUCAAGCUAAGGAACCUAGGUCUCAUCAAAAUCCAAGCACAUCUUCAGACACUUCCACCUCAUUCGAAAAAUUAUAGAGAGAUAAAAUAUUAUCCUUGAACGAGUUGAUAUAAAGAACAAAAAAGCAGACCCAUUCACUAAGGUCAUACCAUAGUAGCUAUUUGAUCGUCAUCUUGAUUGUAUGAGAUUGAAAUACAAAUGCGAUUAGCUUUAGUGUAAGU
rnacentral:lncRNA from 1 species